GGGAGAGAGGAAGCGGCAGAGGGAAGGCACCCAAUCCUGGGCCCUGGGAAGGAAAUGAAAGAAAACACACUGAGAAAAAAGGGAUUCUGCCUACAGACUGCCUUUGGACUCUGCAGCAUCAGCUCUUCCGUGGGUCUCCAGCCUGCUGACCUGCCCUGCAGAUUUGAGACUUGCCAGCUCCCACAAUUACCUUGUGGUAUCCUAGUUCCCCGUCCAGGGAUCGAACCCGGGCCCCCUGCAGUAGAAGCUUGGAGUCCUAACCACUGGACCACCAGGGAAUUUGCAAUCCACAACUACCAUUUGAUUGCAACCACAGAAGACCCCAAGCAAGAGCUGUCCAGUUGAGCCCAGUCAGCCCACAGAUCUGUGAGAGAUAUCUUAAGCCUCUUAAGUCUUGAGGUGAAUUGUUAUACAGUGAUAAUGUAAAGAUUCUUUUUCCUAGGACUUUAGAAUUUGGAACUCAAGACUCUCAGGGCCUGGGAGUUGGUGGCAGAUGACAGCAGCCUGAAGGAAAGACCUCCUGAUGAAGUGAUGAUUUCCCAAGCCACCUUACUUCCUCUUGCCUUCCCUUGAGGUCCAGUUGUCCAGCUCUUCCUUAAAUGCCAUGAGGUACCCCAGUAUCUUUCCAGUAAAUUCCAUUAUUGGCCUCAGCUAAAAUUUUUAACAAAUACAUUUUAGUAGUCUUAUCUGCAGAUAAGAAAUCUUGAGAGGCUAAGCUCUGCUAUACUUAAGUCUGUUUGGCACAUAGUGGGCACUUAAUAACUGUUGAAUGACUGCAUGAAUAAAUUUCUAGGCAAAACUGGGUUUUUUCUCAAAGAAAAACUCGCCCAUCAGGCCAUUGUUUCUCCUCAUGAAAGGUAGUCUCAAAAGAAAAUUAAUACAGCUGCACCCCAAAGAAAGCUGCUUUUUUAAUAUAUUACUAGUAAGCCCACAG